GUAUUAUCGGGAAAAAUGGUGGAGACAAAGUUUUUAUCCCAAGAAUGACACUUACUCCAUCCGAUGCAAGAAUUCCUUUUAAGUUCCAAAGAAGGCAAUUUCCAGUCAUUGUAUCUUUUGCCAUGACCAUCAAUAAAAGCCAAGGUCAAUCAUUGUGUAAUGUGGGAUUAUUUUUGAAGAAGCCGGUGUUUACACAUGGACAACCGUAUGUUGCAUUUUCUCGAGUAACAAAUAGAAAAGGGUUGAAGAUCUUAUGUUAUGAUGAAGAUGGAAAAAUAACAAAUGAAGCUACAAAUGUAGUGUAUAAAGAAGUUUUCCGUAAUUUAGAGGGCGUAAAUUUUCAUUGAAUAAGUGUCAACCGAGCAAAAGAACAAGAAGUUCAAUGUACAUAUGCAAAAUAUAGUUGUGCAUCCUGAAGACAAACAUAAAGUUGAUUGAGAGUUGACAUGUUCAGAGAAUUCAUCAACAUGGAUAAAGUAUCAACAAAAACGGCUGGUGAAGUUAUCGGACCUGGUCCGCGUUCUGUCAAGAUAGUAAUUGUCUUGGUUAUAUUGUUGAAUAUGGUGGAUUAUCCGAGAAAUUCUUGACAGAAAUAGCCAAAGCAGCCUUCUUAUUAGAGUGUGCUUAUGUAGUUAUCCAGUUAUCCAUCUCAUUUUUUGCUCUCUGAAAGUGACUAGGGUUCUUUGUAAUCGGUUCUAUUUAGGAAGGUCCCAUAUAGAGAAGGUGAAUCCAUUGCUGUGAUUGCUGAUGGUGAAGAUGCCAAUGGGGAAGCCUAACAAGCACGAUUGUGAUCCAUACCAUGCUAACAAAGGUUUUGGUGACUUCGCUAACUCCAAAAUCGUGACUUGAAGCCUGGAGCAGAGUUCAAGAUUACUAGAGUCGUUGAUAAAGAAA